rnacentral:rRNA from 1 species
UAAGAAAUUAAAAGUCGAACAGACUUAAAGAUUAAGCUGCUACACCUAAUACUAUAUCUUAAUCCAACAUCGAGGUCGCAAUCUUUUUUAUCAAUAUGAACUUUCCAAAAAAAUUACGCUGUUAUCCCUAAAGUAACUUAAUUUAUUAAUCAAUAUUAAAAGAUCAAAUAUUCAUAAAUCAAUGUAUUUAAAAUUAAAAGUUUUUUAAAUUUUAAUAUCUCCCCAACAUAAUAUAAAUUCAUAUUUAAAUAUAAAUAACCUAUAUUAUAAAAACAAAAAUUUAUAUAAAGAUUUAUAGGGUCUUCUCGUCUAUUAAAAAAUUUUAGCUUUUUUACUAAAAAAUAAAUUUCUAUAAUAAUUUCAAUUGAAACAGUUAAUAUCUCGUCCAACCAUUCAUUCCAGCCUUCAAUUAAAAGACUAAUUAUUAUGCUACCUUUGCACAGUUAGAAUACUGCGGCCAUUCAACACCUCAUUGGGCAGGCUAGACUUUAAAUUUUAUUC